AAGCAUUAUACAGCGAAACUGCGAAUGGCUCAUUAAAUCAGUUAUCGUUUAUUUGAUAGUACCUUACUACUUGGAUAACCGUGGUAAUUCUAGAGCUAAUACAUGCUAAAAACCCCGACUCACGAAGGGGUGUAUUUAUUAGAUUAAAAACCAAUGCCCUUUCGGGGCUCUCUGGUGAUUCAUAAUAACUUCUCGAAUCGCAUGGCCUUGUGCCGGCGAUGGUUCAUUCAAAUUUCUGCCCUAUCAACUUUCGAUGGCAGGGUCUUGGCCUGCCAUGGUUACAACGGGUAACGGAGGGUUAGGGCUCGACCCCGGAGAAGGAGCCUGAGAAACGGCUACUACAUCCAAGGAAGGCAGCAGGCGCGCAAAUUACCCAAUCCCGAUUCGGGGAGGUAGUGACAAUAAAUACUGAUACAGGGCUCUUUUGGGUCUUGUAAUUGGAAUGAGUACAAUUUAAAUCCCUUAACGAGGAACAAUUGGAGGGCAAGUCUGGUGCCAGCAGCCGCGGUAAUUCCAGCUCCAAUAGCGUAUAUUAAAGUUGUUGCAGUUAAAAAGCUCGUAGUUGAACCUUGGGCCUGGCUGGCCGGUCCGCCUCACCGCGUGCACUGGUUCGGCCGGGCCUUUCCCUCUGGGGAGCCUCAUGCCCUUCACUGGGUGUGUUGGGGAACCAGGACUUUUACUGUGAAAAAAUUAGAGUGUUCAAAGCAGGCCUAUGCUCGAAUACAUUAGCAUGGAAUAAUAGAAUAGGACGUGUGGUUCUAUUUUGUUGGUUUCUAGGACCGCCGUAAUGAUUAAUAGGGACAGUCGGGGGCAUUAGUAUUCAAUUGUCAGAGGUGAAAUUCUUGGAUUUAUUGAAGACUAACUACUGCGAAAGCAUUUGCCAAGGAUGUUUUCAUUAAUCAGGAACGAAAGUUAGGGGAUCGAAGACGAUCAGAUACCGUCGUAGUCUUAACCAUAAACUAUGCCGACUAGGGAUCGGACGGUGUUAUUUUUUGACCCGUUCGGCACCUUACGAGAAAUCAAAGUCUU
rnacentral:rRNA from 1 species